AGUCAAUAGAUACCCAGGUAGUCAUGCCGUAAACGAUGAUUGCUAGGUGUGGGGGGUCUGACCCCUUCCGUGCCGGAGUUAAACACAAUAAGCAAUCCACCUGGGGAGUACGGCCGCAAGGUUGAAACUCAAAGGAAUUGACGGGGGCCCGCACAAGCAGUGGAGUAUGUGGUUUAAAUUCGAAGCAACGCGAAGAACCUUACCAGGUCUUGACAUCCACCGAAUCCUGUAGAGAUACGGGAGUGCCCUUCGGGGAACGGUGAGACAGGUGGUGCAUGGUUGUCGUCAGCUCGUGUCGUGAGAUGUUGGAUUAAGUCCCGCAACGAGCGCAACCCUUGUGAAUAGUUGCUACGAAAGAGCACUCUAUUCAGACCGCCGUUGACAAAACCGGAGGAAGGUGGGGAUGACGUCAAAUCAUCAUGCCCCUUAUGACCUGGGCUACACACGUACUACAAUGGCCGUUAACAGA
rnacentral:rRNA from 1 species